CGGGAAGAAGAGUGGUAGUGGUGGUGGCUACUAAAUUUGUUCUAAACCCAGCACUUACUCAAUUAUUAAAAAUGAAUAUUAAAUUUUAGAUGAUGAUAAAUUGUUUUGCUUUUGUGAGUUUUAAAUUUUUGACCUGUUUUUCGAUUUGGAUCUGUGAGGGAGGAGGUGGUGGUGAUUGGAAGAAGAAGAUGAUUCUGUUGUACAAGGAUAGAGACUUCAAUGGUUUUUUU
rnacentral:lncRNA from 1 species